AUGAGAUACAGGUGGAGUCUAAUGAGAUGGAUUGUUUAGAUUUAUAUUAUGAUAGAUUACGAAUUGUCUUGCAGGUGUACAUCACAUGGCUGAAGUAUAAAUUCUGACUUUGCUAAAUGAGCUUUUUAACCUUUAAUGGAAAACCAGAGUUAGUUAUUGAAGAAUUUAUUAAUGAUUCCAUUCAGUGGAUGACCAGCUUAUGCUGGUUACAUGCACACACUUGCGUACCAAUAAGGUGACUAAAUUAGGGUAAUAUGACCUAGUUUGUUCUAGUG
rnacentral:misc_RNA from 1 species